GACGAACGCUGGCGGCGUGCCUAACACAUGCAAGUCGAGCGGAGAUAAGCGGAAGGUAACUGAAGCUUAUCUUAGCGGCGGACGGGUGAGUAACACGUGGGCAACCUGCCUUGAAGUGGGGGAUAACACCGGGAAAUCGGUGCUAAUACCGCAUAACAUACACAAACUGCAUGGUGAGUGUAUCAAAGGAGCAAUCCGCUUUAAGAUGGGCCCGCGGCUGAUUAGCUAGUUGGUAAGGUAACGGCUUACCAAGGCGACGAUCAGUAGCCGACCUGAGAGGGUGACCGGCCACACUGGAACUGAGACACGGUCCAGACUCCUACGGGAGGCAGCAGCUAAGAAUAUUCCGCAAUGGACGAAAGUCUGACGGAGCGACGCCGCGUGGAUGAAGAAGGCCGAAAGGUUGUAAAAUUCUUUUGUCGGGGAAGAAUAAGCGUGGGAGGGAAUGCCCGCGUGAUGACAUGAACCGGCGAAUAAGCCCCGGCUAACUACGUGCCAGCAGCCGAC
rnacentral:rRNA from 1 species